AACGAACGCUGGCGGCAUGCCUAACACAUGCAAGUCGAACGAGACCUUCGGGUCUAGUGGCUCACGGGUGCGUAACGCGUGGGAACCUGCCCUUAGGCUCGGAAUAACUCCCCGAAAGGGGUGCUAAUACCGGAUAAUGUCUUCGGACCAAAGAUUUAUCGCCUUUGGAUGGGCCCGCGUUGGAUUAGCUAGUUGGUAGGGUAAAAGCCUACCAAGGCGACGAUCCAUAGCUGGUCAGAGAGGAUGAUCAGCCACACUGGGACUGGGACACGGCCCAGACUCGUGCGGGAGGCAGCAGUGGGGAAUAUUGGACAAUGGGCGAAAGCCUGAUCCAGCAAUGCCGCGUGAGUGAUGAAGGCCUUAGGGUUGUAAAGCUCUUUUACCCGGGAUGAUAAUGACAGUACCGGGAGAAUAAGCACCGGCUAACUCCGUG
rnacentral:rRNA from 1 species